rnacentral:rRNA from 1 species
UCCGGUGACCAUAGCAGAGGGGCCACACCCGUUCCCAUUCCGAACACGGCAGUUAAGCCCUCUGCGCCGAUGAUACUGGCGCCUUAACCGGGAAAGUAGGUCGUUGCCGGAU